rnacentral:rRNA from 1 species
GACGAACGCUGGCGGCGUGGAUUAGGCAUGCAAGUCGAACGGUAUCAUCCUUUCGGGGGUGAGAGAGUGGCGAACUGGUGAGUAACACGUAGGUUAUCUACCCUCAAGACGGGGACAACCCAGGGAAACUUGGGCUAAUACCGGAUGUGAGCAACUUUUAGUUGUUUGAAAGGUGGCGUAAGCUGCCGCUUGGGGAUGAGCCUGCGUCCUAUUAGUUAGUUGGUGAGGUAACGGCUUACCAAGGCGAUGAUAGGUAGGCGGCCUUAACGGGUGGUCGCCCACACUGGGAUUGAGAUACGGCCCAGACUCCUACGGGAGGCAGCAGUCGAGAAUAGUCUACAAUGGACGGAAGUCUGAUAGUGCGACGCCGCGUGAACGAAGAAUCCCUUCGGGGUGUAAAGUUCUUUUAUACGUGAGCAGUGUCCUUUAUAUUAAUAGUAUAAGGGGAGAGAUAUUAGCGUAUGAAUAAGCAACGGCUAACUCCGUG